GACGAACGCUGGCGGCGUGCUUAACACAUGCAAGUCGAACGGAAAGGCCUCUUUCGGGGGGUACUCGAGUGGCGAACGGGUGAGUAACACGUGAGUAACCUGCCCUUGACUUUGGGAUAACUUCAGGAAACUGGGGCUAAUACCGGAUAGGAGCUCCUGCUGCAUGGUGGGGGUUGGAAAGUUUCGGCGGUUGGGGAUGGACUCGCGGCUUAUCAGCUGGUUGGUGGGGUAGUGGCUUACCAAGGCUUUGACGGGUAGCCGGCCUGAGAGGGUGACCGGCCACAUUGGGACUGAGAUACGGCCCAGACUCCUACGGGAGGCAGCAGUGGGGAAGAUUGCACAAUGGGUGGAAGCCUGAUGCAGCAACGCCGUGUGCGGGAUGACGGCCUUCGGGUUGUAAACCGCUUUCGCUCAUGACGAAGCUUUGUGUGACGGUAGUGGGUAAAGAAGCACCGGCUAACUACGUG
rnacentral:rRNA from 1 species